rnacentral:rRNA from 1 species
GUCCUUGCCGUAAACGAUGUGGAUUAGGUGUCGGAGGUGUCGAUCCCUCCGGUGCCGCAGCUAACGCAUUAAAUCCACCACCUGGGGAGUACGGUCGCAAGACUGAAACUCAAAGAAAUUGACGGGGACCCGCACAAGCGGUGGAGCAUGUGGUUUAAUUCGAGGCUACGCGAAGAACCUUACCCAGGCUUGAAAUGUAGUUGACAGCCCAUGAAAGUGGGUCUUCUCGCAAGAGACAAUUACACAGGUGCUGCAUGGCUGUCGU